rnacentral:lncRNA from 10 species
UUUGAGGUGUGAUUAUUUGAGUUUUUAAAAUAUUAUCACUGUGCAUCAGAAUGGGUUAGGGAAGGCUUAAAUCCUGGAUGCUGGCUCAGCACCUAUUAGAGCAAUUAAAAUGAGAAAUGAUGCAGACUAAACUAGAAUUUCAGGUAAAAAUGGGAAAAAUAGGCGUUAAAAAAUGGUAUAAACGUUAAAAAACUACACUUGACUGAGUUAGAAUAUGGAGGAAAAGGAAGUAUGGAGAUCAAAAGAAAACAUCAGGAUUUGGGAGCUUGGACACAGGGGAAUGACAACGUAAAGGGAUUAUUUCAAAGAUAAUUUGGCAUAGACACUUCUAGACUCUCCUCUUCAUCUGUGUGUGGGUUUUGCUUUUCCAUCUUUUAUGGAGUAUGAUUUACUUUCAAAUCGCCUCUGAAGAAACCUAUUAGUCAGUCAACUGCAGAAAAACUUCUCCAUAAUAUCUACCUGGAAUAUAUCUUGCUUCCAUUCACCUUCUUCCUUUGUCAAUGACUCUCAGGAGGAAUACAGUCUUUGUCAGUCAUAAAGGAAGGAAGAGUCAAUGACAUAGGAUCCCAAACACGGCUAAAAUGUCUCAUAUCUAAUGCUGUACUCCCCCUCUUAACCAAAAUUUGUGUCAGGAAAAGGCACAAAACUCCACCAAAGGAUUACGGUACCUUAAUCCAAGGAAGUUGUAUAGAGGCUAGUAUUUAAAAUUGUCAUUUUGAUAGGCCCCACUAGUGGAUUUUAUCCCCUGUUAGGUUGGACAAUCCUCAGUAUAUACACCUUACUACACAAAGAUUUUCAUCAUAAUUUAUUGACUUUCUGCUAUGAGAGAUGAGUGUGCUCGUGUGACACCCAAUUAAACACUUAAUCCAUUCAAUUACAUGAAG